AGUCUGACGGAGCAACGCCGCGUGAGUGAUGAAGGUUUUCGGAUCGUAAAGCUCUGUUGUUAGGGAAGAACAAGUGCGAGAGUAACUGCUCGCACCUUGACGGUACCUAACCAGAAAGCCACGGCUAACUACGUGCCAGCAGCCGCGGUAAUACGUAGGUGGCAAGCGUUGUCCGGAAUUAUUGGGCGUAAAGGGCUCGCAGGCGGUUUCUUAAGUCUGAUGUGAAAGCCCCCGGCUCAACCGGGGAGGGUCAUUGGAAACUGGGAAACUUGAGUGCAGAAGAGGAGAGUGGAAUUCCACGUGUAGCGGUGAAAUGCGUAGAGAUGUGGAGGAACACCAGUGGCGAAGGCGACUCUCUGGUCUGUAACUGACGCUGAGGAGCGAAAGCGUGGGGAGCGAACAGGAUUAGAUACCCUGGUAGUCCACGCCGUAAACGAUGAGUGCUAAGUGUUAGGGGGUUUCCGCCCCUUAGUGCUGCAGCUAACGCAUUAAGCACUCCGCCUGGGGAGUACGGUCGCAAGACUGAAAC
rnacentral:rRNA from 1 species